AUUGAACGCUGCGGCAUGCUUUACACAUGCAAGUCGAACGGCAGCGCGGGUUCGGCCUGCGGCGAGUGGCGAACGGGUGAGUAAUACAUCGGAACGUGCCCAGUAGUGGGGGAUAGCUCGGCGAAAGCCGGAUUAAUACCGCAUACGACCUGAGGGUGAAAGCGGGGGAUCUUCGGACCUCGCGCUAUUGGAGCGGCCGAUGGCAGAUAGCUAGUUGGUGGGGUAAAGGCCUACCAAGGCGACGAUCUGUAGCUGGUCUGAGAGGACGACCAGCCACACUGGGACUGAGACACGGCCCAGACUCCUACGGGAGGCAGCAGUGGGGAAUUUUGGACAAUGGGCGAAAGCCUGAUCCAGCAAUGCCGCGUGUGUGAUGAAGGCCUUCGGGUUGUAAAGCACUUUUGGCGGGAACGAAAAGGACUGUGCCAAUACCACGGUUCGAUGACGGUACCCGCAGAAUAAGCACCG
rnacentral:rRNA from 1 species